rnacentral:rRNA from 1 species
UACGAAGGGUGCAAGCGUUUAAUCGGAAUUACUGGGCGUAAAGCGUGCGUAGGCGGUUUGUUAAGUCUGCUGUGAAAUCCCCGGGCUCAACCUGGGAAUGGCAGUGGAUACUGGCAAGCUAGAGUGUGUCAGAGGAUGGUGGAAUUCCCGGUGUAGCGGUGAAAUGCGUAGAGAUCGGGAGGAACAUCAGUGGCGAAGGCGGCCAUCUGGGACAACACUGACGCUGAGGCACGAAAGCGUGGGGGAGCAAACAGG